AUCCUCACUCAUGACAUAGACCUAGCCGCCAUGGCACGACCAUGGCCAUGGCGGCGGCCAGAUCCACCCCUCCCUCAUCCCCUCGCCGCUGCCACCUCCUCCCUGUCCUGCAGCGGCGCGUCCCGCCACCACCUCCUUCCUCGACCGGUUCUCCUCCCGUCCGCGUCCCCUUCCCCACCCCCGCUCCCAGAUCGCAUGUUCGUCGGAUUGCAGGGCCAGUCUCGCCUGCUCCUUCUCCCACCCCGAUUCACCCAACCAAACCAGAGCAGACCGCAACACUCCACUACUCCUUUGCCCACCCUGAUUCCUCCCCAAUUCCAGCCGCCGCCACACCACCCGCCCAACUGCUCUCCCCUAGCCCCACCGCCAUCGGCCGGCGACCCCUUCUCCCCAAGCCCCUCCGGCGACCCUUCCUCAUCGGCGCUUGAAACCCUAGCCUCUCACGGACGGGGUGACAGAGAUGGCCAGGGAUCCACGCGUGUUCCAGCGAAGACGGCGCCAGAUCCCUUCCCUCAUAGUACAUAGGGGAUCUCGCCGCCGCCGCCGUGGUGGCCCUUGACGACAGCGAGGUAGGAGGCGGCCAGGUAUGCCCUCCUCCUACUUUCCCUGUUCUAGAUCUCCUCCAUAACCUGCUGCAUCUCCUCCCAUCUCAUGUGCCACUGCUUGCUUUGCUUUCUUCCUUCCAUGGGCAGAUGCAGAUCUCAUCUCUUCUUGUUCUGCGCCGGCCAGACCAUGACCACGGCUAGCUAGGAUGCACGACGGGCUGGACGACAAGGUGGAGAUCCUGGACACAUGGAGGGGCUACCAAACCGGUGCUGCGGCAAGAACGACUCCGCAGCCCAUACAGGAGGUGGACUGCAUACUGGAACUGCCUCACAUUGGAUGACAAAUUUGGUAACCUACAGCUUAAGGGCUUGGCUUGGGUCCCCGUGCCAUACAUGGAGGAGUUUCAGGAAGCCUACUCGACCUCUCUCCUCGCCGCGACCCAACCAAAAAGUACCUUUCUCCAACGUGAUUUGCCCGCGCAGAUUUUUAGUCUGUUUACACCUAAACAUAACACUUUGUUUAAUAAACCAGACACAUAGUUUACUUGCAGCACCAUACCGUGUGAUGAUGUAUGAUGCCAGAUUUUCAGUCUGCUUGCACCGGAACAUAACACCAUGUGUUUUAUAGCACCACUUUGUAUCACAUGACAAUGCAUGGUUUUCGUAUUAAAAGUUUGAAUGCCAUAUUACUCGAAUGCAGAAAUUGACCCAAGGUAUCAGUUGAAGUCACGUUAUCAUCAUCAGUCUGUUGAACAUAACUUACAAGGGUUUUGAUCCAGUUGGUGACUUGCUUAGCUUGCCGCAGAACCCGUAGAUUAUCUACUUUAUGCUUCUGAUGUAUCAUUCUUUGAAAACUCAGCUCCUACUAUUCACCUCGUAGAUUUUUUAUUCUGCAACAUAUUUGGUUUUGUCAUAAAAUGAUUGAAUUAUUCUGAAGAAGUAUAGUGUAACCUUCCAGUGCGAGAAAAUGGUCUUGCGGUCUUAAUUUAGUCUGAUUAAAAAAUUGGUCAUGCUCACGAGCAGUAUAUAUGCACUUGCUCGGUUGAUUGUUAGUAGUUUAGCUACACAAACUGACUGACAUUGCACAAUAAAAUGUAGUAGAUUUGCAGCCCACUAGCACAAACUGACUGAUAGCAAUUCUCUCUCUCAUAUAGAAGUACAUGCUAUCUGAUGUGAGCAAAAUCAUUGCGUAACUACAGGUACAACAUAUGACUAAUUUACAUAGUAUACUAAAACUGGACCCCAUGCAUUCAGUUUCAGAACUUCAAACUAACCUGACUAGUAGCUUCUCUGGCUUCCAGUUUACAACUUCCAGGAUAUCAAUCAUUCAUUCUCAAGUUGCUACCCGGCAACUACAAGACACCUUGUUCUGGAAUUUUCAUGUUCUUUUUAUGUGUAUAUGCCUUCCUCUUUGAUUUCAAGCUUGUGAUUGAGGUUAAUUGAUGGUGGCGCUUGCGCGAUGCAGAUGUUCGGGAUGGCGGAGAAGGAGAUGGAGUACGGGUCGAGCUUUGAACCUUUAUUGUGUUGAAUUCUUACUAGACACAGAACAAAAUUUGGCUCACAUGUUUCUUUAUGCUCUGAAUGUUCAAUAGUUUUGAACCUUUAAGCUACUGUUUUGACAUUAAGUGGAUUACAUGAAUCAGUUUGAUACUAUUUUGGUGUUACUUUAGCUUUAAACUAGUCUCCCUUUCUCAUGGUCACUUGUAUUUGCCAAUUAUAAGGAUUUUCUCCAUGGAAAGAAAAUAUCAGUAGAUUUCAAAUUCUAAACUGAUGCACUAUGAACAAAAACUUAUUCCCCGUUGUGGUGGGAUUAUUGCACUAUUUGCUUGCUACUGUACCAUGGUAUCUAUAGGUUAUUAGUAUUGUUGAUCCCGGCCAUGAGCUUGAAUGGUAUAGUAUUAGAAGAGCAUUAGUUUAAUCUGUAGCAGUGAGGUGACUGAUUUUUGUUCUUUCAUGCCAUGGUACAAUUAUGAUUGGAAUGGUAGCCACUUAACAUGUUAGAAUGUACUGAUUGUUUGUGUUGAUUCCUGGUCUGUAUUAGGGGUAUAAGUUUAUUACUUUCUAUCUAGGUUUGUUAGCUAUGGAUGAUUGCAGUGAUGUUCUUCUAAAUUUGAAAGAUAAAUGGCAUGUUCCUUGUUCUCACCUAUGAGUAGGUGUGAUAUUGUGUUAAGAUUCGUUUGUUUUGUAAGUUUUCAUCACACGAGAUGUUGUUCCUUAGAUGGAAAUGAGUGUUAUCAAGGACAUGGUUUUAGGUAAACCAGCACCUCUCAUCAGUCUUUCUUACUCAGUGUUAUCAUCUGCUUGGUUUUAGGUGAUGGACUCAUUUCCCGCGGUGGUUUUGCUUGCGUUUUCCUGAUGUUGUUUUGUGUCAGGUUCUGAUUUGCUUUGCUGCUAUUAUUUCUGUGGCGAUGCAGACUUGUGGUGACGAAGAGCAAGGACGAGAAGGACUCCAACAAACCCAAGCGCCCUCUGAGCACUGUCUUAGUCCUCAUCUUCAGGAAGGACUCCAACAUCAAGCAUGUCUCCAUGGU